GAAACACGGACCAAGGAGUUCAACUGAAUUACAAGUCGUAGAGUAUUGACAACACUCAUAUACGGCAAAGCGAAAGCAACUUACAUAAAAUACGUAUGAUAUAUGCUAUACGCAUAUUGCAAUACAAUUACAUUAUGUACAUGCGUACUGUGUACUACAGUGCGUAUGCGUAUAUACUCUAUACGAAUAAUGUAAAUUAUAAAGAGUAUUUUAGUUGAGACCCGAAAGAUGGUGAACUAUGCUCGGACAUGGUGAAGCCAGGAGAAAUCUUGGUGGAAGCUUGCGUUGUGCGGAACUGACGUGCAAAUCGUUACCGCCUGACCUGAGUAUAGGGGCGAAAGACUCAUCGAACCAUCUAGUAGCUGGUUCCCUCCGAAGUUUCCCUUAGGAUAGCUCGAAUUAUUAUUUAUGAGUAACACAAUUAUACAAAGGGUAAAGCAAUGAGACGCGGUAUCUGUGGGUCUUAUUUAUUUAAAUGACCUCGGCCUUCUCUCAAACUUUAAAUCUGUGCGUAAUAUACGUAGUACCAUUAUACGUACCGUAUAUCAAAUAUAAUAUCAAUUAAUUCGUAGUGGGCCAUUUCUGGUAAGCAGAACUGGCGAUGAGGGAUUCAACCUGACGUUUUAAAGAUAAGCCGGGCUUAAUCUUAUCUGUUCCAACCUUCCGAUAAACGCGA
rnacentral:rRNA from 1 species